rnacentral:sRNA from 1 species
AGUGAAGAGAGGCAGGUGGCAACGUCCAAGUCUUUUACAAAGAAUAUCCCCGAUUGCAGUCAGAGAGAGAAGAGAAGGAAUAUGAAAUCUCAGUUUCCAGAGAGAGAUGCAGAUGCCAGAAGGGACAAUUAGAGAACUAACAAUGAGUUUCUCCAUCUGGAAAAAGUUGGAAGUCAAAGCAAGGAGGUCACUCGCUUUGGGGAAAGCCACCUGCCAUGCUGUGAGGACAUUCAAACUGCCUAUGGAGAGGUCCAUAUAGUGAAAAACUAAGGCCCCUGCCAAAACCCAUGUGAGCCAUCUUGGAAACAGAUCCUUCAGCCCUAGGCAAGCCGUUAGAUAAUGUAGUGCCAGCCAACAUCUUGACAGCAGCCUGCAAGAGACUCUGAGUUAGAAACACCCAGCAAAGCCAUUCCUGAAUUCCUGAUACUCAGAAUCAGCAUGAUAAUAGUAAAUGCUUAUUGUAA